rfam:Homo sapiens chromosome 1, GRCh38 reference primary assembly.
GCCGGGUGCGCUGGCUCACACCUGUAAUCCCAACACUUUGGGAGGCUGAGGUGGGCGGAUCACCUGAGGUCAGGAGUUCAAGACUAGCCUGGCCAACAUGGUGAAACCCCAUCUCUA